GUUCAAUUGUGCAAUUCGUCGUCGAAAGGAUACAACUGCAACUUAUCAGUCCUCAGAAAGAGGUGUGUGUGCUUGCAUAUCAUCUAUGGCAGUUAGUAUUAAAUUUUUCAAUCAUUCCUUCCAUGACAACUCAUAUUUUCUAAGAACGUUUACUGUACAAUUUACCGAUAUCAGCAAUUUCAAAUAUUACAACAACAUCUAUUCC
rnacentral:lncRNA from 1 species